GUGUCAGCCGCCGCGGUAACACGUAGGGGGCAAGCGUUGUCCGGAUUUAUUGGGCGUAAAGAGCUCGUAGGUGGUUCAGUAAGUCGGGUGUGAAACCUCCAGGCUCAACCUGGAGACGCCACCCGAUACUGCUGUGACUAGAGUCCAGUAGGGGAGCGUGGAAUUCCUGGUGUAGCGGUGAAAUGCGCAGAUAUCAGGAGGAACACCAGUGGCGAAGGCGGCGCUCUGGGCUGGAACUGACACUGAGGAGCGAAAGCGUGGGGAGCAAACAGGAUUAGAAACCCGGGUAGUCC
rnacentral:rRNA from 1 species